GUCCCUGUAGCGCAAUGAAUAGCGCGUUGGACUUUUAAUCCAACGUAGUGUUUUCGAAUCCUACUUGGGAUG